rnacentral:rRNA from 1 species
AUGCAUCGAGAAGGCACUAAUCCAACUUACAGGAGCAGUCAUGGAAGUUGGAUAUCUUCUAAAAUGUAUUCUUGUGGUUCUUGUUUUCUUUGGUCUUGCUUUUCUAGUCAAAAUUCUGGUGAUGUAUUUCCAUGUACCAAAAAAUCAAUGAUGAAAAAAAGAUAUGUGUUUGCAAAGAAAAAUGUACGCGGCCGGGAUGCGUCCGCGCGUUCGGCGCACGGCCACCGCAUCCGAGACAUGGCCCGGACACGACCCCAUUGCCCUACCCAAACGGACAUAAUCCGGGCAAAACGGAGGUCCGUUUGGGGUCGUGCAUUGGAAUUGGCCUUACAAGUGCGACCGCAGUUGAGGAAACCGACUAUCGGCAAACGCCCACCUCGCCCACCGCGCGAUGGCUGA